AGUUAGGACAAAGCAAGCAAAGAAGAGGGUUUGAGUAAGAAGUGUCUUGAAGAAAUAGUAGCUGUUGCUCAUGAUUAUGUUUUACCUGUGAAAUUCAGAUAAUAGUUUUGAGUGUGGUCUGUGGACUGGCAGCAUCAUCAUGGGUGAGAAAUGAAAAACGUGGGGUCUUCCCUCACAUGGAUCAGUAUCUGCAGUUUCACAAGCUCCCGAGGGGUGAGUGCACAUGAAGGAUUGAGUAUUGCUCCAAAUAACCAGACCAACAAGGGAGGAUGCCUUUGGUGGAAGCCAAAGUUACUGCCUAAAAGACCAGUUUACUACAAAUAGUGCUCCCAGGUGAAUGCUGCUAUCAACCCCAUUUUACAACGUGGAAACUGAAGAAUUGAGAUAGUAACUGCACCAAGAUCUCACAACUGGGGUAAAAAUCCAUGCAGCAUGGCCCUAGAUGAACAUAAUCUGA
rnacentral:lncRNA from 10 species